UACGACAACGACAUAUAGAGAUAAAAAUGUUAAAUAUUUGAUGGCAGAACGAGGAUACCUGUGAAGGAGAUGGAGGUUCUCCUCAUGUCUGUAGAAUUAAUGACAGGUGGGUUCAAGUUGGAGCUGUGGCCUUCGGUUGGGGUUGUGGAGAUGGAGUACCUGCUAUAUAUAGUUCAGUAUCCGAUGGUAUGUGCUGGAUUGAUUGGAUUAUGUCCUGCAAACCUUUAGCCAGUGAGAACAUAGAUUUUACCCCUGAACCAGAUCUUCGGACAGAAUCUUUAAAAAGUGUAAACGGUCUGACUGCCAGUGAAUGUGGAAGCUGGCUGAACGAUCAUCCGGAUCUCAAACGACAGGAAC